GCAAGUCGAGCGCUACCUUCGGGUGGAGCGGCGGACGGGUUAGUAACGCGUGGGAACAUACCCUUUUCUACGGAAUAGCCUCGGGAAACUGAGAGUAAUACCGUAUACGCCCCUCGGGGGAAAGAUUUAUCGGAUUUGGAUUAGCCCGCGUUAGAUUAGAUAGUUGGUGGGGUAACGGCCUACCAAGUCUACGAUCUAUAGCUGGUUUUAGAGGAUGAUC
rnacentral:rRNA from 1 species